rnacentral:rRNA from 1 species
GACGGCCUUCGGGUUGUAAACCUCUUUUAGUAGGGAAGAAGCGACUGUGUUUUACAUAGAAGUGACGGUACCUGCAGAAAAAGCACCGGCUAACUACGUGCCAGCAGCCGCGGUAAUACGUAGGGUGCAAGCGUUGUCCGGAAUUAUUGGGCGUAAAGAGCUCGUAGGCGGUUUGUCGCGUCUGCUGUGAAAACUGGAGGCUCAACCUCCAGCCUGCAGUGGGUACGGGCAGACUAGAGUGCGGUAGGGGAGAUUGGAAUUCCUGGUGUAGCGGUGGAAUGCGCAGAUAUCAGGAGGAACACCAAUGGCGAAGGCAGAUCUCUGGGCCGUAACUGACGCUGAGGAGCGAAAGCAUGGGGAGCGAACAGGAUUAGAUACCCUGGUAGUCCAUGCCGUAAACGUUGGGAACUAGAUGUAGGGGCCAUUCCACGGUUUCUGUGUCGCAGCUAACGCAUUAAGUUCCCCGCCUGGGGAGUACGGCCGCAAGGCUAAAACUCAAAGGAAUUGACGGAAUCACUA